UGGAAGACCCGGGGGGUGCAACCAACUUUCGUGGCUUACGGUUAAAAUGAUUCCUCUGGUCUGCCCUUGACGUUUGCUUUUCCCUUGGCUUGCUAAGAAGCAAUUGUUUUCCCCUUAACUCGCUGAGCAGCAAUUUUGAAUUUGUAAAUUGUGGAUUAUGGGUAUACACCCUACUCCCCCCUCUGGUGACAUGUGCAAUGCUCUGCAUGAACAUGUUAAGUGUGUGUGUUUGGUGCUCAUGCUUGUGAUGAUUGUGAGAGAGUUAACAUAACUACAAUUCCCAAGUAACAUAAUGCAAGUUGCAUUUCAAGCCCUAGCACAUAUGCAGAAGGUGUGCAGCUUCCAAGAUGAUGUUGUGAUUACAUAAAUCCCAUUAAAGAUCAUAUAAGUCAUGAUUUUGCCCAAGUAAAGA
rnacentral:lncRNA from 1 species